GUGGGUGUAGCUCAGCGGUAGAGUCCCAGAAUGUGGAUCUGGAAGUCGCGGGUUCGAACCCCGUCACUCACCCUA
rnacentral:tRNA from 1 species